GUGCUCGCUUUGGCAGCACAUAUACUAAAAUUGGAACGAUACAGAGAAGAUUAGCAGGGCCCCUGCGCAAGGAGAGAUUCUAUUCAAGAAUGGUGGUCAAUGGCCUC